GCCUUUAUAGUUUAAAGGUAAAUCACGUUACUUUUAAUAACGUAGAUAGACGUUCGAUUCGUCUUAGGGGCU
rfam:Metarhizium majus ARSEF 297 Scaffold_95, whole genome shotgun sequence.